AGUGAACGCUGGCGGUAGGCCUAACACAUGCAAGUCGAACGGCAGCACAGUAAGAGCUUGCUCUUACGGGUGGCGAGUGGCGGACGGGUGAGGAAUACAUCGGAAUCUACUUUUUCGUGGGGGAUAACGUAGGGAAACUUACGCUAAUACCGCAUACGACCUACGGGUGAAAGCAGGGGAUCUUCGGACCUUGCGCGAUUGAAUGAGCCGAUGUCGGAUUAGCUAGUUGGCGGGGUAAAGGCCCACCAAGGCGACGAUCCGUAGCUGGUCUGAGAGGAUGAUCAGCCACACUGUAACUGAGACGCGGUCCAGACUCCUACGGGAGGCAGCAGUGGGGAAUAUUGGACAAUGGGCGCAAGCCUGAUCCAGCCAUACCGCGUGGGUGAAGAAGGCCUUCGGGUUGUAAAGCCCUUUUGUUGGGAAAGAAAAGCAGCAGGUUAAUACCCCGCUGUUCUGACGGUACCCAAAGAAUAAGCACCGGCUAACUUCGUG
rnacentral:rRNA from 1 species